rnacentral:rRNA from 1 species
UGGGGGCACGGGGGGACGGGGCGCAGCAGGCGCGAAAACUCCGCAAUGCGCGCAAGCGUGACGGGGGGACCCCAAGUGCCGUUGGUCUUUUGAUCGACGGUUUUUCGGAAGUCUAAGAAGCUUCCGGAAUAAGGGCUGGGUAAGACUGGUGCCAGCCGCCGCGGUAACACCAGCAGCCCGAGUGGUGACCACGAUUAUUGGGCCUAAAGCGCUCGUAGCCGGAUCAGCAAGUCCCUUGUGAAAUCGGACCGCCCAACGGUUCGGCGUGCAAGGGAUACUGUUGAUAUCGAGGCCGGGAGAGGUCGGAGGUACUCCUGGGGUAGCGGUGAAAUGCUCUAAUCCUAGGGGGACCACCAGUGGCGAAGGCGUCCGACCAGAACGGACCUGACGGUGAGGGGCGAAGGCUAGGGGAGCGAACGGGAUUAGAUACCCCGGUAGUCCUAGCUGUAAAGCAUGCGGGCCAGGUGUCUAGUGCUCCUCGAGGGCACUAGGUGCCGGAGGGAAGCCGUUAAGCCCGCCGCCUGGGAAGUACGGCCGCAAGGCUGAAACUUAAAGAAAUUGGCGGGGGAGCACCACAAGGGGUGGGACCUGCGGUUCAAUUGGAUUCAACGCCGGAAAACUCACCAGGGGCGACAGCUGGUUGACGGCCAGGUUGACGAUCUUGCCCGACUAGCUGAGAGGUGGUGCAUGGCCAUCGUCAGCUCGUACCGUGAGGCGUCCUGUCAAGUCAGGCAACGAGCGAGAUCCUCGCCCUUAGUUGCCAUCGGUGGAAAAGCCGGGCACUCUAGGGGGACCGCUGGCGCUAAGCCAGAGGAAGGAGAGGGCGACGGUAGGUCAGUAUGCCCCGAAUCCCCUGGGCUACACGCGGGUCACAAUGCGCAGGACAAUGGGAUGCAACCUCGUAAGGGGGAGCCAAGCCCCUAAACCUGCGCUCGGUUCGGAUCGAGGGCUGUAACCCGCCCUCGUGAAGCUGGAAUCCCUAGUAAUCGCGUGCCAACACCGCGUGGUGAAUGCGUCCCUGCUCCUUGCACGAAUUCGCCGA